rnacentral:rRNA from 1 species
UACGAAGGGGGCUAGCGUUGCUCGGAAUUACUGGGCGUAAAGCGUGCGCAGGCGGCUUUGCAAGACAGAUGUGAAAUCCCCGGGCUCAACCUGGGAACUGCAUUUGUGACUGCAAGGCUAGAGUACGGUAGAGGGGGAUGGAAUUCCGCGUGUAGCAGUGAAAUGCGUAGAUAUGCGGAGGAACACCGAUGGCGAAGGCAAUCCCCUGGACCUGUACUGACGCUCAUGCACGAAAGCGUGGGGAGCAAACAGG